GCAUUGCGAUGUUGCUGCAAUAUAACUGCAAUAUUGUUGGAAUAAUCUAUGCUGUAUAUGGAUAUCAUAAUCCCUACUAUAAAAGUCCAUAA